rnacentral:rRNA from 1 species
GCAACAAUGAAACUCAAAGGAAUUGACGGGGGCCCGCACAAGCGGAGGAACAUGUGGUUUAAUUCGAUGAUACGCGAGGAACCUUACCUGGACUUAAAUGUAGCGUGACCGUACUCGAAAGGGUAUUUCUCUUCGGAGCAGGUUACAAGGUGCUGCAUGGCUGUCGUCAGCUCGUGCCGUGAGGUGUCGGGUUAAGUCCCAUAACGAGCGCAACCCCUAUUGUUAGUUGCUAACAGGUCAAGCUGAGGACUCUAGCGAGACUGCCACCGUAAGGUGAGAGGAAGGUGGGGAUGACGUCAAGUCAGCACGGCCCUUACGUCCAGGGCUACACACGUGUUACAAUGGUCGGUACAGAGAGCAGCUACUUGGUGACAAGAUGCGAAUCUUUUAAAGCCGGUCUUAGUUCGGAUCGAAGUCUGCAACUCGACUUCGUGAAGUUGGAUUCGCUAGUAAUCGCAUAUCAGCCAUGAUGCGGUGAAUACGUUCCCGGGCCUUGUACACACCGCCCGUCAAGCCAUGGAAGCUGGGGGUACCUGAAGUCCGUAACCAUCAAGGAUCGGCCUAGGGUAAAACUGGUAACUGGGGCUAAGUCGUAACAAGGUA